GAAGUCAGCCAGACCGCCGCUGGUGCGAGCGUGGAAACACGGCACUGGAGGAAGGUCCGGACUGCACAGGGCGGCGUAGCAGCUAACGGCUGUCCACCGCGAGGUGAGGAUCAGAGCAACAGAGACGAGCCGAUUCAGUUCGGGUGAAACGGGCAAUCUCUACGCGCAGCAAUACCAAGUAGGCACACGUUGACUCGGCCCGAGGAGUGUGCGGGUAGGUAGCACCGAGCCGGCAGGGCGACCUCCGGCCCAGAGGAAUGGCGGUCACGGCAGGUCUUCGUCAGAAGGCCGGCUGCACAGAAUCCGGCCUAUCGGCUGACUUCACAC
rnacentral:RNase_P_RNA from 3 species